rnacentral:pre_miRNA from 1 species
GGGGGGAGCGCCGGAUCCUGGGCUGUGUCCCCCGGCGCCCUGGGCUCCGGGGCCUGCACCGCUGGAAUUGCGCUCCCGGCCGUGCAGCCCCCU